UACGGGGGGGGCAAGCGUUAUUCGGAAUUACUGGGCGUAAAGGGCUCGCAGGCGGCCGACUAAGUCAGACGUGAAAUCCCUUGGCUUAACCAAGGAAUGGCGUCUGAUACUGGACGGCUUGAAUUCGGGAGAGGGAUGUGGAAUUCCAGGUGUAGCGGUGAAAUGCGUAGAUAUCUGGAGGAACACCGGUGGCGAAGGCGGCAUCCUGGACCGAUAUUGACGCUGAGGAGCGAAAGCCAGGGGAGCAAACGGG
rnacentral:rRNA from 1 species